rnacentral:rRNA from 1 species
GUCCACGCUGUAAACGAUGUGUGCUAGACGUUGGGGAGCCUAGCUCUUCGGUGUCGCAGCUAACUCGGUAAGCACACCGCCUGGGGAGUACGGCCGCAAGGUUAAAACUCAAAGGAAUUGACGGGGGCCCGCACAAGCGGUGGAGCAUGUGGUUUAAUUCGACGCAACGCGAAGAACCUUACCAGCCCUUGACAUGUCCGGUAUGGGCCCGAGAGAUCGGACCCUUCAGUUCGGCUGGCCGGAGCACAGGUGCUGCAUGGCUGUCGU